GAUGAACGCUGGCGGCGUGCCUAAUACAUGCAAGUCGAGCGAACAGACGAGGAGCUUGCUCCUCUGACGUUAGCGGCGGACGGGUGGGUAACACGUGGAUAACCUACCUAUAAGACUGGGAUAACUUCGGGAAACCGGUGCUAAUACCGGAUAAUAUAUUGAACCGCAUGGUUCAAUAGUGAAAGACGGUUUUGCUGUCACUUAUAGAUGGAUCCGCGCCGCAUUAGCUAGUUGGUAAGGUAACGGCUUACCAAGGCAACGAUGCGUAGCCGACCUGAGAGGGUGAUCGGCCACACUGGAACUGAGACACGGUCCAGACUCCUACGGGAGGCAGCAGUAGGGAAUCUUCCGCAAUGGGCGAAAGCCUGACGGAGCAACGCCGCGUGAGUGAUGAAGGUCUUCGGAUCGUAAAACUCUGUUAUUAGGGAAGAACAAAUGUGUAAGUAACUAUGCACGUCUUGACGGUACCUAAUCAGAAAGCCACGGCUAACUACGUG
rnacentral:rRNA from 1 species